rnacentral:rRNA from 1 species
UACGUAGGGUGCAAGCGUUGUCCGGAAUUAUUGGGCGUAAAGAGCUCGUAGGCGGUUUGUUGCGUCGGCUGUGAAAUCCCGAGGCUCAACCUCGGGUCUGCAGUCGAUACGAGCAAACUAGAGUGUUGCAGGGGAGACUGGAAUUCCUGGUGUAGCGGUGAAAUGCGCAGAUAUCAGGAGGAACACCGGUGGCGAAGGUGGGUCUCUGGGCAACAACUGACGCUGAGGAGCGAAAGCGUGGGGAGCGAACAGG